rnacentral:rRNA from 1 species
GGGGAAUAUUGCACAAUGGGCGAAAGCCUGAUGCAGCAACGCCGCGUGAGUGAUGAAGGCCUACGGGUUGUAAAGCUCUGUCUUCUGGGACGAUAAUGACGGUACCAGAGGAGGAAGCCACGGCUAACUACGUGCCAGCAGCCGCGGUAAUACGUAGGUGGCAAGCGUUGUCCGGAUUUACUGGGCGUAAAGGAUGCGUAGGCGGAUACUUAAGUCAGAUGUGAAAAUCCCGGGCUUAACUUGGGAACUGCAUUUGAAACUGGGUAUCUAGAGUGCGGGAGAGGAAAGUGGAAUUCCUAGUGUAGCGGUGAAAUGCGUAGAGAUUAGGAAGAACACCAGUGGCGAAGGCGACUUUCUGGACCGUAACUGACGCUGAGGCAUGAAAGCGUGGGGAGCAAACA